rnacentral:rRNA from 1 species
UACGAAGGGGGCUAGCGUUGUUCGGAAUUACUGGGCGUAAAGGGCGCGUAGGCGGCCUGUUAAGUCGAACGUGAAAUCCCCGGGCUCAACCCGGGAACUGCGUCCGAUACUGGCAGGCUUGAAUUCGGGAGAGGGAUGCGGAAUUCCAGGUGUAGCGGUGAAAUGCGUAGAUAUCUGGAGGAACACCGGUGGCGAAGGCGGCAUCCUGGACCGAAAUUGACGCUGAGGCGCGAAAGCCAGGGGAGCAAACGGG